AUGGCCUUAGGCUGCUAGAAGCCAUGUUAAAAUUUGGUUAAGUCUCUUAGUGCAGGGGUUUGAAUGGAGUGUUCACGCUGAGGGGUUUUGCAGUUCUCAGUUCCCACAUUAUGAAUCCCACCUCCUUAAUAGAGGAGUCCAAACUCACAUCUCCAGAUUCUCUUGCAGCUAGAGUGCAGGUGUUUGACCAAGUUUCUACUAUAUUCUUGGAUGGAUAAGUGAGAAACAUGAGACGGAGGCUAGGCUCAGGGAAAAUGAUCUUCAGGAAUUCGUUUUAACUGUAUUUCAUGGAAGUGUUAUUCUGCACUCCAUUAGAAGUAAAAUAAAACACACUGCCUCUAGUUUGAGGAGGAAGAAGAAGACCAGAAGCAGAGCUGUGAACUUCAGUGAGGGGUGCAGCCAGCCUGAGGACAUCUCCUAAGGGAGGAAGCCAGAGACAAACACCAGGACCUCACUCCCCACCUUCCAGUCUCCUAUUGGGGCCUCUCCCAUUGGCCCCAACCAGAAGCCAGAGGGCAAGGAACCCUGCAGAAACAGUUCUUCCAGUCUUGAUUUAAAGAACCCUUCCAGGUAUUACUGCAGAUUGAAGCCUGAACCAGACUGACCCCCUUCUGGCAAUUUCAGUCAAAAUUCUGGCUCCCAGAAGAGGCAAACAAGGCCUCUCUCUCCCUAUCCUUUGAGCUGCUACUGCCAAUGUUGGCAAAGCCUUCCAUGGAGGAAAAAGCAUCCUUCUCAUCUUUUAUGAAGUUUCUCUGUCAUCUCGCCAAGCCAGGCCCCUGAUCAACACCACCACCAGAUUUGGGGUUGAUGUAACCCAUCAUGUCACACAGCAGGGACGUCUCCCCCCCAAGACUGUCUUGUCAACAUGGAGCAGGUUCCCUUCAUAGCCUGAGAUGAUUCCCCUCCUUAACCCCCUACCCCACCCAACUCCAACCCCCACAAGUGGCCAGAGCAUAAUUUCUCUGAGAAAAUCUACAAACUACAAAUUGUUGGACAAAUGAAAUGGAGAUGAAAUUGUGGAAACAGGAAGUCGCUGGAAGAUGAGUCUCAGCAAGAUGAGAGGGGAAACCACGGAAAAAGAAGAUAUGAGGUCCAGGAAGCAGGAGAUCCACGCCAAAGAAGCAUGCAGGAAAUUCAUGAUAUGAUGGUGCAGGGAAAUUCCGUGGUGACAGCUGUGCCACAGGCUGAGGGAGCAGCUGAUGCAAUUUGGAACGGGAGGUUGGAGGGUAAGCGAGGGAGGCCUCCAGGAAAAUAAUGAGACUGAUAGAUUGAUUAUCUGCUGUAUCUUAGUGUUUGGAUAAUUAUUGCAAAGCGUUUGAUAUGAUCCAUCAGUUGAAGCAUGUGGAAAAAAAGUAGUAAUAGGUAUAAAGAAAGCUAAGUACAUGAAGACAGGGAAAAAACCAGAGGUAAUUAUUAACUCCAGGGGAAAACAUAAUUAAAGAAAGGAAACAAUAACUUCAGUGCAGUACUUGCACAGAAUAUUUAGGUAGCAGCAAGAAUGCAAAUGUUGUUAUUUUCAUAAGACUGUGAUCUAACCAAAUUGGUUAGGAUGGAGGCAAGAAAAUUGCUAAGACCGUAAGGGAAGUAGGUUCUCCCUUAUGAUACACCAGGAAGUAAAAAAAUAUGGAAAAAGCCAAAUCAAGAUAUAGCAAAACAAAAAUAUUAUUUAGAAAUAUGUCUAUAAAUACCAGAGGAAACAGCAAAACGAGUUUAAAGUGAUGCCUCUGGGAAUUAGAACUUGAAGGUGAGAAGGAGAAAGGUGGAGGAAAUGCUUCUUGAUAUAAGCCUCUUAUUACAUUUGAUUUUUUAAACUUUGUAUGUAUUACUUUGAUUAGAAUUAAAUAUGUUAAACAAAAAACAAUUGCAAAAACUAAAGAAAAUCACUAAUUCAGUCCAGACCAGCCUUUUACAGAGGUCACUGAAGUUCAGAGAGGUGAAUGGACUUGCCCAAGCUUACACAGCAAGUAACCAGCAUAAUUUGUCCUAAAGUCCAAAGCCAUGCUGUUUUGUGUUACCUCCAGGCCCUGCAGGCUGUCCCUCCAGGGCUCUGCCUUGGGAAUUGAUAUUGGCAGCAAAGGGAACACGAGGGAACCUGAGCAGAGCUCUCCAUUUAGAUUGACACACUGUUCCAGGGAUUUGGGGAGAAACAGGAUUAGCUCCAAGAGUAUUCACCCCUCUGCCUCUUUUCUCCUUCCCCAUCCUAUCUCAUGACCAACCUCAGCUAAAAGGUCUGAGAAGAAAAGGGAAUCUGGGAAGAUUCUCACUAAGCUGUAAAUGACUGAUAUUCACUCUCACCGUGAUUUUGAUUUUAUCAAGGCGUAAAUCCAAAACAGUUUGAUGGACAGGAUACCAAGCAGUAGAAUGAAGACAGAUGGGGGAAACCACCUCGGGGCAGGAAGGAAUUUGGGGGUUCUUGGGACCCCAGUCAUUUUACAAAGAACAUCUUAGAAAAUGUCCAACACAAUGGGUUUCUUUUCUCUACUACCCAGGACCCACAGGGGCCCAAGUUCUGACAGAUUUUGUUUAUCAAACAAACUGCACUCAUGGUCAUGCUUCAUUCGUUUUCUAGGAGAUGGCCCCUGUUACACAGAGUAACAUUUUUGUUGAGAUAAUUCCACCCCUAAGGAAAGACACUCCAUGUUUUAUUUGCAAUACAGCCUUAUUAUGGAUCAAUAUUAGAUUUCCAUGGGGCACUUUGCAUUUUGCAAAUAUUGCUCAUCAGUCACCCAGAAAGAGUACUAGACUUUUGCAUUCAAAUUCCAACUGAGGGCCCAUGAGCAAGUCAUAAGCCCACUCUGAUCCUAUAUCCCUGUCAUAGAAUCACUUACUUCCCACCAUUUGCAAGGCUGGAGAUAACAUAUGUAAAGUGCCCACUCU
ensembl:lncRNA